GCACUCCUAAGACUGUACCGAUCUGCCUC
rnacentral:piRNA from 1 species